rnacentral:tRNA from 1 species
GCCGCUGUAGCUCAGUCUGGUAGAGCACCUAAAAACCCGUCUUCAAAUCAAUUGCCCGAUCCGGGCCGGAAGAGGACGGUUAUCGUUUCCCACGAGGUGGUCACGGGUUCGAAUCCCGUCGGUGGCU